AUUGAACGCUGGCGGCAGGCCUAACACAUGCAAGUCGAACGAGUGGCAGACGGGUGAGUAAUGUCUGGGAAACUGCCUGAUGGAGGGGGAUAACUACUGGAAAAGGUAGCUAAUACCGCAUAACAUCAGAUGUGCCCAGAUGGGAUUAGAUUGGUGGUGGGGUAACGGCGCACCAAGGCGACGAUCCCGAGCUGGUCUGAGAGGAUGACCAGCCAUACGGGAACUGCGACACGGUCCAGACUCCUACGUGAGGCAGCAGUGGUGAAUAUUGCCCAAUGGGCGAUAGCCUGAUGCAGCCAUGCCGCGUGUAUGAAGAAGGCCUUCGGGUUGUAAAGUACUUUCAGCGGGGAGGCGUUACCCGCAGAAGAAGCACCGGCUAACUCCGUGCCAGCAGCCGCGGUAAUAC
rnacentral:rRNA from 1 species